rnacentral:rRNA from 1 species
UACGUAGGGUGCGAGCGUUGCCCGGAUUUAUUGGGCGUAAAGGGCGCGUAGGCGGCCACGCACGUCCGUUGUGAAAUCGCCCGGCUCAACUGGGCGGGGUCAGCGGAUACGGUGUGGCUAGAGCAAGCUAGGGGGCAAUGGAAUUCCCGGUGUAGUGGUGGAAUGCGUAGAUAUCAGGAGGAACACCGGUGGCGAAGGCGGGUCUCUGGGCAGUAACUGACGCUGAGGAGCGAAAGCGUGGGGAGCGAACAGG